GGGUUGGAAGUCAAGUCACUUAUUGAAGAUCAUCUAUCACUAAUACAUGGGAUCUGAAACCAGCUCAAGAGAAGCGGUUAUCUUACAGAGAAGAAAAUUGAGGCUCAAAAAAGAUAAUCAAUUUGCCCAAAGACACACACUCACAUGUUCAAAGCUAGGACCUUGCUACUAAAAGGGUGGUUCAUGGAUACAACUCACAGUGACAUCUGAGAGCUCGUUGGAAAUGCAGAUUAUUACAUCUGACCUUCUGAAUCACAGUCUGAUUUUAACUGGGCUCUGGAGGAAUCAUACACAUA